rnacentral:rRNA from 1 species
UACGGAGGGUGCUAGCGUUGUUCGGAAUCACUGGGCGUAAAGCGCGUGUAGGCGGCCCAUUAAGUCUGAUGUGAAAGCCCGGGGCUCACCCCCGGAAGUGCAUUGGAAACUGAUGGGCUGGAGUCCCGGAGAGGAGGGUGGAAUUCCUGGUGUAGCGGUGAAAUGCGUAGAUAUCAGGAGGAACACCGGUGGCGAAGGCGGGUCUCUGGGCCGAUACUGACGCUGAGGAGCGAAAGCGUGGGGAGCGAACAGG